rnacentral:rRNA from 1 species
GGCUAUGGCCAUGGCACUCUGGUACACCCAAUCCCUCGAUCUCAGAAGAUAAGCAACGUGCAGUCGGGUCGGUACUUUGAUGGGAGACCACCAAGGAAGACUGGAUGCUGUAGCUG